rnacentral:rRNA from 1 species
ACCCAAUAGAUACCCAGGUAGUCCUGGCCCUAAACGAUGAAUGCUUGGUGUGACGGGUAUCGAUCCCUGUCGUGCCGAAAGCUAACGCAUUAAGCAUUCCGCCCGGGGAGUACGGUCGCAAGGCUGAAACUCAAAGAAUUGACGGGGCCGCACAAGCGGUGGAGCAUGUGGUUCAAUUCGACGCAACGCGAAGAACCUUACCCAGGCUCGAACGGCAUUGGACAUCCGGCGAAAGCCGGCUCCCGCAAGGGCCGAUGUCGAGGUGCUGCAUGGCUGUCGUCAGCUCGUGUCGUGAGAUGUUGGGUUAAAGUCCCGCAACGAGCGCAACCCUUGUCCGCUGUUGCCAUCAGGUUAAGCUGGGCACUCUGCGGAGACUGCCGGUGAUAAACCCGGAGGAAGGUUGGGGAUGACGUCAAGUCAGCAUGGCCUUUAUGUCUGGGGCUACACACGUGCUACAAUGGCAGGUACAAACCGUCGCGAUGCCGUAAGG